GGCUCAGGCUGGGGGUUACCCAAGCUUGGCAGCAGCCGCGGCUUCAGCGCGCUGGUGCGAGUGCUGAGUCCGGGAGGCAGCCGUUACAGCUCUCCGCGCCACCGGCCUGUGGCACCUGUGCGUGCACACUGCCGCCCGCUCCAUUGCGGCGGCUCCUGGACCAGGAUCCCUAGACUGUCGCCCUCCUUCUCUCCCCUUUCUGGACAGAUUAUGAUCCUACAUGUGCAUCCAUGACAUCUGUAUAGUCCCCCAUUGGUGUUUGUUUCCCUGGGCGCUCUUUGGCACCGGCUGUCCCGCCAGAAGGCGCCAGCAGGGAGCUCAAUGCCGGCAACCAUCACUUGCCCCUUGGAGCUGUUGCCUGGGCAGGGGUGGCCUUGGUUGUUUACCGCCAGGGUUGACCAGCUAACGAGGGUUGGUCCCGCUUUCGUAGUGUGGAUUUUCGUUUGCUCUAUUUGACUCUAAAUCAAUCCUGUAUAUUCGCAAACUACAAAGAGGCGCAUGCAAAUAGAUACUGUACUGAGGGCAGAUACACGCGCGAGAUCGAGAGGGUACAUAAAUUUUCAAGAAGGAAAUUCACAAGUAUGGAAUCUACAAAUAAAGAGAUCUACUGUAUGUAUAAAAUCACAGGAAGCAAGGCUCCCUCGAGAAAUGGCAGCUUCUAGAACUGGAGCAGAAAAUAUGUAAGAUUAACCUGCAGCAUUUUGAAGUCCCAGAAAGUAAAAACGUGAUUUAAAAAAAGGCCCCCAAAAUACAUCAGUGGGGGUAUGUAUGUCAAAAGAGUACAGGAGCUAA